UACGGAGGGGUGCAGCGUUGUCGUGAAUCAUGGCGUAAAGCGCACGUAGGCGGAUUGUUAAGUCAGGGUGAAAUCCUGGAGCUCAACUCCAGAACUGCCUUUGAUACUGGCGAUCUUGAGUCCGGGAGAGGUGAGUGGAACUGCGAGUGUAGAGGUGAAAUUCGUAGAUAUUCGCAAGAACACCAGUGGCGAAGGCGGCUCACUGGCCCGGUACUGACGCUGAGGUGCGAAAGCGUGGGAGCAACAGG
rnacentral:rRNA from 1 species